GCCAUUAGCUCAGUUGGUAGAGCAUCUGACUUUUAAUCAGAGGGUCGAAGGUUCGAGUCCUUCAGUCGGCA
rnacentral:tRNA from 1 species